GGGGGAGUGUCGGAAUUGGCAGACGAGCAUGAUUUAGGAUCAUGUGGGGCAACCCGUGCGGGUUCGAGUCCCGCCUUCCCCA
rnacentral:tRNA from 1 species